rnacentral:rRNA from 1 species
ACAUGCUCUAUCUGUGGGAUGGAACCAGAAGAUAGAUAUCACGCAGUCAUGAGAUGCACAAAAGCUAAAGCCCUGCGUGACACCAUGCGUGAGGUCUGGAACCUUCCCCGGGACACUGAUCUCACAUGUACGGGGCAUGAGUGGGUCCUUCUAACUCUUGAUAAGGCGAAUGAGGAGGAGCGUACACACCUCCUUUUCAUCUGGUGGCGAGCAUGGCACCUUAGAAAUAACAUUAUAUUUGGUGACGGGAAAGAUACAAUAAAGGCAUCAGCAGAAUUCCUAGAAAGUUAUGCUAGCUCCUAUGCGGCGAUCAGAGCGGGACAGUCGCUACCUGACUUUAAAGGAAAAGAAAAAGUGAUGCCAGACAUUUCAUUCCGUGAGACUAAACAGAGAGUUGCAGAUUAUCAAUGGGCCAGACCUAACUCAGGUUGGCUCAAACUAAAUGUUGAUGCAAGCUUUAUUUAG